AUUGUUGUUAAAAGGAUAGACUAGAUCAUUUACCCUUUUAUUUCUGUUUCUAUUUCAGACAGAAGGAGCAAUAUGUGAAGAGUAAUGGGGACCAAAGAGACUAAUAAGGAGACAAAGAGAGACAAGGCCAUGGCAAAAGCAGAGGCUGCAGAAAGACAGAGAGAGCACGCAUAUGCAUGAGGGAGAGUGGAAGAGGGAGUAAGAGAGAGAAUCCCAAGCAGGCUCCACAUUCCGUGCGGAGCCCCAUGUGGAGCUCGAUUCCAUGACCCUGGGGUUACGACCUGAACUGAAACCAAGAGCCAGAUGUUCAACUGACUGAGCCACCGAGGCUCCCUACUGUCCAAGAUGUGGGAGCCAUGAGGAGAGGGGCAGAGUAAUCCUGGACAAGGCCAUCCUACUAGCCAGCCCCCAGCCAUCCUGCCAGCUGACCACAGAUGCAUGCACAAGCCCAGAGCUGCCUGGAGUCAUUUCCUGCAGGAAUUUCACGUCUUCCCAUUGAAGUGUUCCAGCAGCUGGUAACCAAAUCAUCAACUCAGGCCAUGGGUGAUUCUCCAGGCUCCAAUUACAAAUCAGAAGGAAUAAAGCAGUCUGCAUAUUUCCCACGUUGGGUGAGGACACACUGACUUCUGGAGAGCUUGAAUCAAUAAGCUGAAAGAAAAGUUCAAACUCCAAUUUCAGAAGAACUUGGCUUCUGCGUGUUAAACUAUGGAUUCAUAGAUUCUUCUGCCUUUUGGGUCUUCUGCUCUCUGCUCUCCUUGACAGCUCGCACCAAGCUGAUCAUUGGGGAUAUCAAUGGACUUCUGAAUGAAGACAUUGUCUGACAAGUAUAAUACACGAGCAUGAAACACAUACUGUUCUACUCUUUUGAAUAUAUUACAUUUAUUGAGAACUACAAUUAAGUUAUGUAUUUUUAUCAGUAAAGCACUUUAUUGAUUGUGGACGUGAAGCUGAGUUCUUUCAUGUUUUGGUCAGCUCCAAGGACACAUGCACCUAGUGGUUCAAAACAAAUUGACCGGCAUGAUUACUGAGCCUAUGAUGAAUUGUAAGUGUAAAGAAAUAUCGAACAUUGGAGUGCGUUAUUCUGUACAACAUUUGUUCUAAUUUUGUGUUCAUUUUAAUGAUAAAUGAAACAAAUUAAUAUAAGUAUUGUGUUCAGGAUCUGGAGUCAGACUUUAUGGGCUUAAAUUCUAUAUACGUGGCAUGGAUUUGAAAAUGCUAUUGAAGUUCUCUGAGCCCCAGUUUGCUCAUCUAUAAAAUCAUGAUCACAACAGCAUCUUUCUCAAGCAGUAAAUAAAGGCAUUCAGUGGGAUAGUCUAGAUAGAGAAAGGUGCUUGACACGUAGUAAGUCGUCUGUAAAUAUCAGCUAUUAAUAUUAUUAUCAUCAUUGUCAUUUGGACGAUCACUGUACAACGAAGUAUCACAUGAUUUUGCAGUAUCUGCAUUUAAGGCCACGUUGAUGCCAAGAAGCACGUGCAUUGUCACAAGUAAAUAAGAAAGGAAGAGAGGUUGGAAUUAAUACAAAACGGAUGCAUUCGUGCCAAGGAAAGUGCAAUGACAUGAUGUUUUAUUGUACAAAUGGUGGUUUCAAAGUGGUUCGGGGUGGGAAAAUGGAGUGGUGACAGAGCAAACCUCAGAACAGGCAUGCUGAGUUGUAAAGAGCCUGCGUUACAGCAGUCAACAUCGAAUUUACAUCCUGAACAGCAAUUUAGUUUCAGCUAAACAGCAUCAUCUGUCGUAUUAAUGUUCAUUUGAAUGUACUGGGUUUAUUUGCAUUUAGUUGUAAACUGUUUUAGUUUCAGGGUUGUAUUAGAGAUAAAAGCACAUGGAGUUCAUACUUUAUUUUAUACUUAAGUACAUUUAAUACUUAGAAGUUUUGAG